UUAUGGCCAUAUCAGUUGAAAUACCACUUCCUGUACAAUCACCGAAGUUAAGCAACAUUGAGCUUGGUCAGUACCCAGAUGGCUGACUGUUUGAGAAUAUCAGGUGCUGUAAG